rnacentral:rRNA from 1 species
AUUGAACGCUGGCGGCAGGCCUAACACAUGCAAGUCGAGCGGAUGAAGGGAGCUUGCUCCUGGAUUCAGCGGCGGACGGGUGAGUAAUGCCUAGGAAUCUGCCUGGUAGUGGGGGAUAACGUCCGGAAACGGGCGCUAAUACCGCAUACGUCCUGAGGGAGAAAGUGGGGGAUCUUCGGACCUCACGCUAUCAGAUGAGCCUAGGUCGGAUUAGCUAGUUGGUGGGGUAAAGGCCUACCAAGGCGACGAUCCGUAACUGGUCUGAGAGGAUGAUCAGUCACACUGGAACUGAGACACGGUCCAGACUCCUACGGGAGGCAGCAGUGGGGAAUAUUGGACAAUGGGCGAAAGCCUGAUCCAGCCAUGCCGCGUGUGUGAAGAAGGUCUUCGGAUUGUAAAGCACUUUAAGUUGGGAGGAAGGGCAGUAAGUUAAUACCUUGCUGUUUUGACGUUACCAACAGAAUAAGCGCCAGCUAACUUCGUG